rnacentral:snRNA from 1 species
AGCUUUGAGCAGUGGCAGUAUCGUAGCCAAUGAGGUUACCCGAGGCGCGAUUAUUGCUAAUUGAAG